AGCUUGCUGGGCGGAUUAGUGGCGAACGGGUGAGUAAUACGUGAGUAACCUGCCCUUGACUCUGGGAUAAGCCUGGGAAACUGGGUCUAAUACUGGAUACUACCUCUUACCGCAUGGUGGGUGGUGGAAAGGGUUUUACUGGUUUUGGAUGGGCUCACGGCCUAUCAGCUUGUUGGUGGGGUAAUGGCUCACCAAGGCGACGACGGGUAGCCGGCCUGAGAGGGUGACCGGCCACACUGGGACUGAGACACGGCCCAGACUCCUACGGGAGGCAGCAGUGGGGAAUAUUGCACAAUGGGCGGAAGCCUGAUGCAGCGACGCCGCGUGAGGGAUGACGGCCUUCGGGUUGUAAACCUCUUUCAGUAGGGAAGAAGCGAGAGUGACGGUACCUGCAGAAGAAGCGCCGGCUAACUACGUGCCAGCAGCCGCGGUAAUACGUAGGGCGCAAGCGUUGUCCGGAAUUAUUGGGCGUAAAGAGCUCGUAGGCGGUUUGUCGCGUCUGCUGUGAAAGCCCGGGGCUCAACCCCGGGUCUGCAGUGGGUACGGGCAGACUAGAGUGCAGUAGGGGAGACUGGAAUUCCUGGUGUAGCGGUGAAAUGCGCAGAUAUCAGGAGGAACACCGAUGGCGAAGGCAGGUCUCUGGGCUGUUACUGACGCUGAGGAGCGAAAGCAUGGGGAGCGAACAGGAUUAGAUACCCUGGUAGUCCAUGCCGUAAACGUUGGGCACUAGGUGUGGGGGACAUUCCACGUUUUCCGCGCCGUAGCUAACGCAUUAAGUGCCCCGCCUGGGGAGUACGGCCGCAAGGCUAAAACUCAAAGGAAUUGACGGGGGCCCGCACAAGCGGCGGAGCAUGCGGAUUAAUUCGAUGCAACGCGAAGAACCUUACCAAGGCUUGACAUUCACCGGACCGCCCCAGAGAUGGGGUUUCCCUUCGGGGCUGGUGGACAGGUGGUGCAUGGUUGUCGUCAGCUCGUGUCGUGAGAUGUUGGGUUAAGUCCCGCAACGAGCGCAACCCUCGUUCUAUGUUGCCAGCACGUGAUGGUGGGGACUCAUAGGAGACUGCCGGGGUCAACUCGGAGGAAGGUGGGGAUGACGUCAAAUCAUCAUGCCCCUUAUGUCUUGGGCUUCACGCAUGCUACAAUGGCCGGUACAAAGGGUUGCGAUACUGUGAGGUGGAGCUAAUCCCAAAAAGCCGGUCUCAGUUCGGAUUGAGGUCUGCAACUCGACCUCAUGAAGUCGGAGUCGCUAGUAAUCGCAGAUCAGCAACGCUGCGGUGAAUACGUUCCCGGGCCUUGUACACACCGCCCGUCAAGUCACGAAAGUUGGUAACACCCGAAG
rnacentral:rRNA from 1 species